UGUUUUUUUUUUUUUUUUUUUUAAAGAAUGUAGAACUUACUCUAGAAUACAAUAAAAAGGUAUUAGGCACUUGCUUUUGGUUUCAUAGUAUAUCCUUGUUGACAUCUAUUCUAAAGUCUGAAUUCCUGAACUCAUGCACACAAAGUAUAUUCACUGUUCAAAAGAGAAUUUCAAUCUUUCCUAAACGUGCAAAAUUAAGCCUUAAGUAAACCUGUGAUACACAAGGUUGAAUUUCAAAUGUGUCCCCUAAAAGACUUUAUUUCAGAUGAGAACGGAGCCCUUUGCCAAUCCUGGGAGUGAACAGACACGGUCUUUACCUACUUUCAUAAGAUAAGGAGACAGGAGAAACACCCACUUAAGAGAACAAUGAUGGGGGGCUAGAUUGUGUUCUGUCAACUUUGAAGAGGAAGAAAACCUCACUCUUCUCCCCCAAUGCUCCCUUUAGAGAGAGUUCACUGCAGCUCUUAAAGAGCAGAAAACUGAACAGGAUUAGUAUUCUAACACAGUCAAGAAAACAAGUGACUGGGGAACCGUGAAUUUUGGGUACUUUGCAAGUUCACCUGGUCACAUCUCUAAUUGGGGCCCAAUGUCUACUUCGGGUGCACUGACCCUUUAUAUAUAUUUUUUCUCUUUUGAAGUUGCAGCCAGGAACUAAGUCUCAAAACGCGAGUCUUCUAUUUAAAAGUCCUGCCCUCAUCAGGCUUCCACCUUUCAAAUACGCUCACCUCUACUUUUUUUUUUCCCAAAGAAAAGUACGCUCUCAGUAGGAAGGACUGUGACAGCUCCACGUCUGCAAAAGUCGGCGGCGCCGGCCUGGGCCGGGACCACCACGAGUGGGGACAAUGGAGGGAGGAGGGAAGUACAAGACAGAAGGGGAGGCAGUCACUGGGGAAGGUCCUCCGCGAGUGGGAGCUUGGAAAAGUCUCGGGGGAGCCUGCCAAGUGGCAGGUGGGCCCGGCCGCCGCCCCUCAAAGGGCCACGUCGCGCGGGCGGGCCGCUGCCACCGGGCCCCGCGCGUAGGCCGAGCCGCAGGAGAGGAGCCCCCGGGCGCGGCAGCGGGGCGCGGGGCUGGACCCUACCCACGUCCGCCGCGGCUCGGCUCUCUCCCAACUUGGGGCUUGCGGGUCCACAGGCUCCGGGCGCCUAGGCCAAGCACUAGCAGUUCAGCUCGACCUGCUGACCCACCCGCCACCCGGCUCCGGCCACCAGCCCGCUCUCCGGGCGCCCCCCACGGACACCGGCUGUGGGAAGAGCAGCCCCGGCUUUAGGUCUCGACUCGAACGCAACACUCCUCUACCCUUCGCAUUCUCCAUGCCUUUUCAUCCAAGCUCCCUCCAAGCCACAGAAAUGACCCCAGUCUGCCUGCGGGUGUUUACCGGGACUCGGGGCGGCGACGACUCCUCAGUCCCUCCGCUAAGAUGGCAGCCGGUCCCGAGCCCCGACUACAGCGACUAGAGCUAGUUCACACUUAGUGCGCAGGCGCGUCCUCUUAGACGCAGUCCGGACUACAAGCCCCAACAGGCUUUGCGCGCCAGCCUGCUAAAUCAUUUUUCCUCACCUCCAGGCUGCCAAGAAAGAACAAUCCCUUGCUACAGCAAGAAGUCUGAAGGAGCUGGCUAUAGAGGGCUCAAGACGUCUGUCCUAAACCAGAAUCUGCAUUUCAAAAAGGAAGAGGAAGAGGAAGAAGAGACCGCAGCAACAACAGUAACAACAUCAUCAUCAUCAACAACAACAACGAAAGUAGACUAAAGUCACACCUAAAAAUUCUUCAGGCAAAGAUAGAAUCAAGCAACAAGUAUCCAGGUCACUUUACGUAAGCUGGGAAGGUGUCAGACAGAAACACUCCCAGGAAUCUCAGAAGUCAUCCUGAUUCACACAGACUUCUCCGAGGGUGGCACAGGGAGCAACGAGAAGAGAAAUAUGCAAACAACAAGACUUUCUGCUCAGUCUUUACGAACUCUCUAGACUUGGAUGGAGAAGAGACAGGUCCCACAAGGUCAACUGGUCUAGUCAGCUGCAUUCGGCCUGUUUCUUCACCUGUGAAGCAGUACUCGUGGUAGUGUCUUACCUCUUAGGCUCACGGAAAAAUGAACCAAGAAGGCACUGCCCAGGGCAGGGUCAAGGGUGGUGCAAUAAAAAUGCUUGCUUUUUGCCAAUGCAGCAGCAGCUGUGUCUCUGAGUAGUCAGGUGGCUCAUGAGUAGGACUCAAAUCUCGCCAGCCCAAUUCCAGGGUCAUCUCAUUCUACCCAGAUAAGCCAGUGUCUUUUUUUGUUUUCCCUCUUCAAGACAGGUUUUCUCUGUGUAGCCCUGACUGUCCUGGAACUCAUUCUGUAGACCAGGCUACUCAAAUUCACAGAGAUCGGCCUGCCUCUACCUCCUGAGUGCUGGGAUUAAAGGCAUGCACCACCCACCACUGCCUAGCUUCAGCCGGUGUCCAAUAAGGAGUUGUAUAGGGCUGAGGUGGUUAAGAGCACUGACUGCCCUUUUGGAGACUGUGAGUUUAAUUCCCAGCAACCACAUGGUGGUUUACAAACAUCUUUAAUGGGAUCUGAUGACCUCUUCUGGUGUGUCUGAAGAUACAAACUCUGUGUGUGUGUGUGUGUGUGUGUGUGUGUGUGUGUGUGUGUGUGUGUGUCCGUCUAUCUCUCUCUCUCUCUCUCUCUCUCUCUCUCUCUCUGUGUGUGUGUGUGUG